GCGUAAUUGGUUUAGUGGUAAAAUUCUCCGUUGCCAUCCGAGCAACGUAGGGGAGCCCUGGGCUCGAUUCCAAGAUUAAGCA
rnacentral:tRNA from 1 species